GGAUAAAUAUUAUUUCCACGUAGAUGAUGGAGAGGUGCAGCAAGUGGGUGAUCCUCAUACAUAUGAGGUGAUGUGACAGCAUGUAUUGCAUGAGACAAGGACUUUUAAUCCCCGAUAUUAAAAUGGCACGACUUGCUUGCAAAUUUCUAUUGGUGUAGAAAUAUUAAUGGAAAUUAGGGAUUAAUUAACCAUGAUUAGAUUAUUAAGUGGGGAUUAGUGAUUAAAUUAAUGGAUAUAAUUUAAAGGGCUGCAAGCACUACAAGUACACAUGCACGUUGUGCCUUGAACAUUUGAUGAAUACGAAAAAAAAAAAUUAGGCCAGCCAAGGUAUACGUGUAUAAAAGGGCAAGGGACCCUUAUGUGGCAAAUGGAGAGGCUGCCUAUAAAUAAUACCUAUUGACUCAUGGAUCAGAUUUUUCCAUUCAUAAAAUUAGUGAAGGAGGAAGAGACCUAUAAACUAGAGAGAGGAGCUCCUAGCCAUGGCAACUCACGGCCAUGGCUAUGGCAGCAACCCUUUGAACGACCAGCCCACUCCAACACAAAUAAACCACUAAUUUCAUCUUGACUAGGAGAGGAAAAUCGUGAACAGCCAUGACAGGCCCCUUGGGCACUCACGGCCAACUCCAAAGAUGAAAGAGGAAGAGAAUUUGAAUUUCACAAAAGUGUUCUAAGUGUUUUACACGUUCAAAGGAGGCAGCAACAUAGGGGUUUAAGUUGAAGAAGAUGAAGUGGUGCGAAUUGUGCAAACUAUUGUAGGAUCUGUCCUAGUUAAAGUUGAGGCUAAAAGAGCGACGAAGCGAAAAGGAUUCACGAUUAGUCGCUGACAGGUACAGAUACUCGCUUUGGUGAUCCGCCAGCUUAGGAUUCCCUUUCUGCUGUCUUGGAGAGCUCCGUCGUUCCGAAGCCUAGAUUUUGGUACCGACUUCCUGAUAUGCAUAUAUAUAUGUUUUUUUCCAUGGGUACGACGGGUCCGUGUCCCGUCAUAUGUUACUGUUGAUACUCUUAGAGGUCUGUAGACAUGUAUGUGGGUUGUGUGCAGAUGUGGUUAGUUGUGCCUAUAUGGUCAUUAUGGAUGUUCUAGCGCUGUAGCAGCCUUUCCGGCUUGCAUAUAUUAUCUUUCUGUUGUAGUAGCCUUGUCGGCUUGCGUAUUAUUUCAUGAUAUGAUCAGUUGUGACUCAUCAGGAGACAGUGCAUCUGAAUAUACAUAUAUGAUGACGCUAUGAACCUUCAGAGUUCUUUUGUAAAGUCUCAUAUUGUUCGUAGUUUCAGUUUGACUAUAUCUAAUAGGUAUGUAUACGGGUGUCCAGAUCGGGCACCAGUCACGGCCUACGGGGUUGGGUCGUGACAAUAUAGUCAUGGGUUUAAGCAGAAAUAUUAUAUUUGGACUGAUUGUGGAGAGAAUGAUGAGGUCAAUGGUAUAUUUUAUAAUAUGGUUGUCGGUGAAAGUAGUGUGUCGCAGGAAUAUAGUCAUGUCUAAUAUGAUAGAGUUAAUGAUAUGGUUAAUGAUGCUUUUGGCGUAUAGUCUGGGUUUGAACCUGAGCAAAAUUUUGAGGAACCUCCUAAUGAAGAAGCAAUGCACUUCUAUCAAGAAUUAGAGGAGGCUAGUCGUCCACUUUGGGUAGGGAGUCAGCAUUCUAAUUUGUCUGUUGCAGUUAGAAUUAUUAACAUCAAAUCAGAUUGGAUUGUUGCUGAAGCUGCUAUGGACUCAAUGAUUAAGCUUGUGGGGGAACUAGUUAGUCCGGAAUUCGACAUACCUAAGAGUUAGUAUGAAGCAAAGAGAUUGGUUACCAAAUUAGGAUUGUCGUAUGAUAGAAUUCAUUGUUUUCCAAACGGUUGUAUGUUGUUCUAUAAGCAAGAUGCUGAUUUAAAUGAAUAUAAAAUAUGUGGACAUGUGCGUUAUAAGCGGACACCUAGUGGGAAGAUGGUUCCAAUUAAGGCGAUGCAUUAUUUACCUAUUAUACCUACGUUACAGAGGUUGUUUGCAUCGCCGAGUUCUGCUCCUCACAUGAGAUGGCACAGCGAAAAUAGAAGGCCACUUGGUGUUAUGUGUCAUCCAUCGGAUGGAGAAGCGUGGAAACAAUUUGAUAGAACUUAUCCUGAUUUUGCUAGUGAACCAAGAAACAUUCGUUUGGGUUUGUGUGCGGAUGGUUUCACACCAUACUCUGUUUCGGCUGCACCCUAUUCUUGUUGGCCUGUAUUUCUUACUCCAUAUAAUCUACCACCUGAGAUGUGUAUGACAAGUCCCUAUAUAUUCCUAAAUUGUGUUAUCCUUGGUCCUCGUAAUUCAAAAGUUUUGAUUGACGUCUAUCUACAACCUUUGAUUGAUGAGUUAAAACAAUUGUGGUGUGAAGGUGUAGUGACAUAUGAUGUAUCAACUAAGAGAAAUUUCAAUAUACGAUUUUCCUUGCGUAUGGGAUGUUGUCUGGUUGGAUGACUGCUGGAAAGCUUGCUUGUCCUCAUUGCAUGGAAAAUAGUAAAGCUUUCACUUUAAAACAUGGCCACAAAAAUUCAUGGUUUGAUUGUCAUCGUCAGUUCUUGCUUAUGGAUCACCAAUUCAGGAAAAUGAAACAAGCAUUUAGAAAGAAUAAAACAAAAAAUGAUCUCCCACCUCGAACAUUGUCAGGAGAAGAAAUUUGGGGGAGGGUUUGUCACUUGCCUAAGGUCACAGAAGUUGCCCCUUAUAGACUAUCUGGUGAUGGUGUUGAACAUAAUUGGACUAAACAGAGCAUAUUCUGGGAGUUAUCGUAUUGGAAGUAUAAUCUUCUAUGGCAUAAUCUUGAUGUGAUGCAUAUUGAAAAUAUUACUUUGAUAAUUUAUUCAACACUGUUAUGGAUGUUAAAGGCAAGACAAAAGAUAACCCAAAAGCUAGUUUGGACCUAAAGGAAUAUUGUAAGCGCCCUGAAUUGAACUUGCAAGAGUUAGCGAAUAAUGGUUUACAGCCGGGAGAUAGAGAUGCGAUCGGUCGGAUUUUCAUCGUGCCUGAGGGAUCUGGGUUCUAUCCAGAUCACGAAACUACAAAAGCCUUGCUGGAUGUUGUUCGGAGGCUUCAUGGCGAUCAGUUUUAUACAUCAUGGGGUGAAAUCCCAUAUGAUACUCGACAUGCUAUGUUUAGAGAGCUUAACGAUCCAUGGACAAUGAUAGGGUUGCUACAAACUUUAAGAGGAAGGGGAGUGCAAGGUUGUCUGAUUGGUUUUUGAGGGCUAGAAGGUAUAUGAAGAUGCCCCAAUGGCUAAAUGUUGAACAGUGGGAGAAACUUAAGGCAUAUUGGCGAACUCCUGAGUUUAUCACCAAGUCUGAGCAGGCAAAGGCUGCCCGUGUAUCCCAGAAAGGUGGCUCUUUGCACACUGCGGGUGCAAGAAGUCAGGGGCACGUGGCUAGGACAAUGAAAAAAGCUACGGGAUAGAUGCCGACUCAGGAUCAGCUAUUCCUAAAGACGCACACAAAAAAGAAGAAGCAGGAGUCGGAUCCGACCGUAUGGGUUGAGGACAGGGCUCGUAAUUCCUAUACGCAAUUUAUGGAUGAUGUGAACCAGUACAACCAAACUCAGCCUGAGUAGCCGAGCCAUCCUCCACUGGAAUUAGAGAUAGAUUUUUGGUGUGGAGUAGUUGGGGGAGUACAAAAGGGUAGAGCGUACGGUCUAGGCCCAAGAAAAAACUUAAGUCGCCUUCGGUCAGGAUUCCGAGGUGAAGGGUCUUCUCGACAAGCCGAGGGAGUUGAUGGUGUUCAGGUCGCAGCUAUGGCGCAACAAAUUGCUGAACUUAAUAGGAAAUUAGCUGAGACUGAGGCAAAAAGAGUUGAGGAAAGUAACUCCAUGAAAGCGAGCCUUGAAUCGCUCGUGGCACAAGUUAAAAGCCACAUUGCAUGUGGACAAUUUGGUGUGUUCGACCCAGAAGAUGAUGAUGACGGUAAUUACGUAGCCCGGACACCGGAUGAUCAGUUGUAGUAGUUUGGAUUUAAUAAUGGACUUAUGUUUUAUGGACUUAUGUUAAAACUAGUUAAUGGUACUUUUGGUUGGAAAUUUAAAUAUUUUUGAACUUUGAAGGUCUAUUUAGAUCGUAUUUGAUGUGUUUAUAUAGUGUUUGAUGUAUUUUAUUAUUACUUAGUGUGAUCUCAUGUGC